GAUGAAGAACGUAGUGAAAUGCGAUAAGUAAUGUGAAUUGCAGAAUUCAGUGAAUCAUCGAAUCUUUGAACGCACAUUGCGCCCUCUGGAAUUCCGGGGGGCAUGCCUGUUCGAGCGUCAUUAUAACCACUCAAGCUCUCGCUUGGUAUUGGGGUUCGCGGUUUCGCGGCCCCUAAAAUCAGUGGCGGUGCCUGUCGGCUCUACGCGUAGUAAUACUCCUCGCGAUUGAGUCCGGUAGGUCUACUUGCCAGCAACCCCUAAUUUUUUUAAGGUUGACCUCGGAUCAGGUAGGGAUACCCGCUGAACUUAAGCAUAUCAAUAAGCGGAGGA
rnacentral:misc_RNA from 1 species